UACGUAGGGGGCGAGCGUUGUCCGGAUUUAUUGGGCGUAAAGAGCUCGUAGGCGGUUCGGUAAGUCGGAUGUGAAAUCUCCACGCUCAACGUGGAGGGGCCAUUCGAUACUGCUGUGACUCGAGUCCGGUAGGGGAGUGUGGAAUUCCCGGUGUAGCGGUGAAAUGCGCAGAGAUCGGGAGGAACACCCGUAGCGAAGGCGGCACUCUGGGCCGGUACUGACGCUGAGGAGCGAAAGCGUGGGGAGCAAACAGG
rnacentral:rRNA from 1 species